UUUGCGACCGAAAACACUACAUUCGACCGAAUCGCGAUCAGGAAUCGUUCCUGGGCCAAUAACCUAUUGGGCGAACUACUUUCGGACAAUAAAACACCGGAAUUAACUUUAAUAAAACCGCGAACAUUUAUUGCUGACUUUCUCUUAUUGAGUUCAGAAUACUAAUGAAAGGCAAACACACAAACAGCGCUUUGGCGCGUAAACAUCGGAAAUAGCAUUGGGCGCUAUGCAUAAAAGAAUCGCUUACACACUAAUCAGAAAUUGUAUACACUGAUAUUAAAACUCCAUUAUAAUUUAUGUGCGAAAACCAUAUAGAAGCAGGUUUUCUGCCUCCAACAAUCUUUUAUGUGCCACUUUUAAAUUUUAUUUGUGGACAAUAAAUUUCAAAGUCUAUGCAUGUAUAUACCACUAGCAUUGCAAUGCAUUAUAAAGGUUACAUUAGUACAACCUAUUUAAGCUGCCAAUAUUUUUGAAGAGCACAAACUUGUAUACCAACGGUUGCAAAAAUGUAUCGCCAUCUUAUUUCUUCGCUGCUACUGUACGAGUUUUCCCAAAGUAUUAUCAUUAACAGUAAUACACAUCGCAUUUCAGCCAAAUAUGUGGAUGUUCAGUGUAUUAUAUCUGGGAUAGCAAGAAUAAGUUCUGUCCAAAAAAAUGCAAUCGCGUCGGAAUCAAAUUCUAAGACGAUGAGCUCCAAUGAACAUGUAUCCCGCUCAUGCAAUGACUAUUGGUUAAAUCAUGCGAUGCGCUGGACGCAAUGGAAGAACACAGUGGUCCCACAUUCUCCAGCAGCACUCGUACAGACUCCCACGCUCUUGUUGGUAUCAUCCCCGUAGCUGCUAACAUCAACACGACCAGAUAAUUUACUAUUUCGUGGAUUUCUAACUGGAUCCCGUUAGAAUAUGUAUUAACUUUUAUUCUCCUUAAUAAAUGUGUAUUACUGUAUGCGUA